rnacentral:lncRNA from 1 species
AAACGGCUGUAAAUAGAGCAACACUGAAUGCGACUCAACCGGAAAAGAAAAAUCGGCUUCAAAUCGUAACUCCGUCUUCCAACGAGCAGAAGAACGACGACUUGAUAGGGGACACGCAAUUUAGGAAGAGAUCGGCUACCGGUGGGGACACGGCGUUGCAGAUCUGGACAACGCGCGCAGAGACAAAGGUUGCGCGGUGCUGGGCAGAGGGUCACACGGCACUGGGCGGAGGGUCACGCGGUGCUGGGCAGAGGGUCACACGACGCUGGGCAGAAAACAGAGGAGAAAGGAGAGGGGAGACAGCCGGCGGUUACAGGUUCACGCGGCGGCCUUGGCUUCGACGGACGGAAGGGAAGAGAGGGAGAUGAUCGGCGGCUGCGACAAAUAAAAGAAGAAAAAGGAAAGAGGUGGGCGGCUGCUAGGGUGAACGGCUGGUAGGGUGAACGGAGAAGAAGAAAGAGAUGGAGGACGCACUGGAGGAAGAAGGAAGGGAAAAAUUC